UCAUGACUGGGGUGAAGUCGUAACAAGGUAGCCGUAGGGGAACCUGCGGCUGGAUCACCUCCUUA
rnacentral:ncRNA from 3 species